CUUUCUCCGCCGGCGACCGGCGCACGGGUGAGUAACACGUAUGCAACCUGCCCCUGUCAGGGGGACAACCCGCCGAAAGGCGGGCUAAACCCGCGUACAUGCCACCGGGGCAUCCCGGCGGCAGGAAAGGCUUCGGCCGGACAGGGAUGGGCAUGCGGCGCAUUAGGCAGUAGGCGGGGUAACGGCCCACCUAACCGACGAUGCGUAGGGGUUCUGAGAGGAAGGUCCCCCACACUGGUACUGAGACACGGACCAGACUCCUACGGGAGGCAGCAG
rnacentral:rRNA from 1 species